AUUUGGAACAAGUGACUCACCAAGUGUUCUUCGAUAUCGAAAUCGAUGGAAAACCCAUUGGUCGCAUAGUCAUGGGUCUCUUUGGAAAAACAGUUCCAAAAACCAUAGAGAACUUUCGAGCACUUUUGCACUGGUAGCCAAGUAACUUAAGCUCCAUUAAUUACUGUGAUCUUGUGAUGACCUGCCUUAUUCCUAAUGUAUUUCCAUGAUUAAAUGGAAGCUAUGGCUUUUCUAUUGCUACUUUUGAGUUUAACGAAGGCUUGGGUUUCAGGGGAGAAGGGAAUUGGAAAGAGUAUGAAACCUCUGCACUACAAAGGAAGUAUAUUUCAUAGGAUUAUUCCCAGCUUUAUGAUUCAGGGAGGGGAUUUCACUCUUGGCGAUGGAAGAGGUGGAGAAUCGAUUUAUAGUGAUAAGUUUGCAGAUGAAAACUUCAAAGUGAAGCAUCUGGACCAGGCAAGCUAAACUCUUCCUUGUUUCCGAGUAGUUACUAUUGCAAAAGUUCUUCCAAAAUGUAGAUACUGCAAAUAUGUGUAUUCCUAAUUUCCCAGUAAUCUUGAGUUCCGGGUCCUUUUGUGCGACAAACAGCUUAUUUAUCAAUGGCAAAUUCUGUUUAAGACACCAAUGGAUCACAGUUCUUCAUCACAACUGUCAAAACUAGCUGGUUGGAAGGUCACCAUGUUGUAUUUGGCAAGGUGCUUUCUGGAAUGGACGUUGUGUACAAGGUUGUAGGAGUAGGAGGAUCGGAUGGGAUACUAAGAGUGAGGUUGUUAUCAAAGACAGCGGUGCACUUCCGAUGUGACCAGCCUACCCUACUCUUUCAUAAAAUGACAAGAUGGGCAUAUCAGUGAACUUCCGAUGUGACUGGUCUAAUACAAAUGAUAAGCAACUAUUGCCUAGUUGAGAUAUUGUUGUUCAUACUGUGUGCUUAUAUUGCACGUUAGCGGCUUAAUAUUUAGAAAGAAAUUUGGUUUAAUUGUACACAUCAAGUUGCUCACUACUUCCACUACUUCAACUCCAUGAAGAGUUGCAAUUGAUCGUGAAUCACCAAAUUGUUCCUUGAGUUUAUUAUGUCAUUGGAAGAAACUCCAAGAAAAGAAGCUUAACAAUGGGUAACAUAUAAUCAGCUUGAAUGAACGACCCUAGCAAAAUUGAGGUCAUAAGAGAAGCUAGAUACAAAUGGUAUAACAUUGAUUAGUAUUAAUGAUGGAAUUUGUUGACUGUUCCUAACAGCACACUUGCUAUUGAACCACAUCAAAAACAAAGCUGAAAGCCUGAAAUGAACCAACAGAAUCCAGUAGCCUCAUAAUCAACAACAGGUAAUGAGCAUAUAAGUGAACUGAAAGAUAAACAAGCUUGAAACAGGAAUUGCCAAUAUGCCCGCACUUCUAGAGUUCUGAUCAUAUUAGGCUGCAAAGUGAUUGAAUCAUAAGACCUCCAGAACAGUUUCAAGCCUAACACAGAUACUACAGGAGUACAGGAACUGUAGAUAAGAGGUCUAGACUUCUUAUGCUUAUACCAUGAACUUAAAUCAGGUAAAAGAUCUUCAAAAUGAUGAUACUCUUGAAUCCUUGGAAGGCAACGAAAGAGUUUCUUCCUUACUAUUCAGUAAUCAAUGUCUCAGUAAGAAUAUCACGGGAGGUUGAUAAAAGGACUGAUAUAGUGGUCUUUUACAAUACAAGGCAGAGAACUAUAGCAGAGCAGAUCCACAAUACAACUUAACCAAACAGAUUCAGAAGUUGCUAAUCCGAUGGUCGCAAAUUUCUUUCAUGAGAAUAGGUGAGAGAAGUUGCCCUCUACUAUGAGCAGCAUGUACACAUUCUUCACCACCCAAAUUCAGAUCCUAACUAAUAACAAGCUACUCAUCUGAACAUUCCGUGUUGACCUGCUGAGAAGAUUGCUUAACAUGAGGCCUAGCAACGAACAAGGCAUUGAGCGAAAAGCCAUAAGUACCUCGUCUUUAGUUUGGCAGGUUCAACAGGAAAGCAGUUGCACUGUAAU